GUUUGUUUACAUUUGAGCAACGAGAAUGAUAUUAAUUGCGAAAGCAUUGACUUUGAGAAGCCAAAUAAAUACCCUGCUCAACGACAAUUCUUCAAGAGAAAUAUUAGAAAAGUCUUACUACUCAUCACCAUGCCUUGGCAAAAAAGAUAGCUGAGUUAAAGAAAUAACAUUUAAUCGUAUUAGAUUUAAUAAAGGACCUUGGGAUGCCGAUUAAUUCAUGAUGAACAAAACAACGUAAGAAUCAGUUUUGGGAACACGAUUGCCAACGAAAUGGAUCUGCUUUUUUUAAAGAGAACUUUCGUAUGGACCGAAAUUCCUUUGAUAAAUUAUGUGACAUCCUUCGCCCGCUACAAAAAAUAGAGACGAAUUACCGAAAAGCUAUUCCUAUCGAGAAAAGGGUGGCUAUAACAUUAUUUGCUUUAGGGUCAUCUGCAGAGUAUCGGAGUAUUGCCAACAUGUUCGGUGUAGGAAAAUCUACGGUUUGCGAAAUUUUACUGGAAUUUUGCACCGAAAUCUGGAGAUUACUGCAACCAUCCUGUUUUAAAAUGUUGUCUCUAAACAGAGAAAAUAUAACCGAAUUGGUGACUGGUUUCGAGGUAAUUGGAUUCCCACAAUGUUUAGGAGCAAUUGACGGAUGCCACAUUAAAAUUCACCCAUCAUCUGACGAAGCUGUGGAAUAUUAUAAAUAUAAAGGAGGGUAUUCCACCGUUUUAUUGGCAUUGUUUGCAAUGCAUUUUCAGAUACCGUUUUACUUACAUAAACGUAGGAAGUCCCGGGCGAUGUAAUGACUCUCAAAUUUAUGAGAAAGAAAUAGAUAGUUGUCGUUUACUAACCGAAAUGUCUCGAGACAUUUCAGGCAUAAAUGUGCCAAUAUUUAUUAUUGGGGAUUCGGCUUUUCGUUUUAGCAAACAAAUGAUGAAACCGUAUCCAUUUAGCGUAAAUCAAAAUCAUCGUGAGAAGGUAUUCAAGUACACUCUUUCGAAAACCCGUAGAGCGGUCGAAAAUGCUUUUGGACACCUCAAGGCCCGCUUUCGACGCAUCGGAAAAGGAAUUAACAACUCUGUACGGAAUGCCAACUCAAUAAUAAAAACAUGUUGCGUCCUUCACAAUUUUUUAAAUGAUAACAACGACACGCUAAACACUAAAUGGUUACGCGCUUUGGAAGAGUUGGAGACUAGACGCCAAAAUCCGUCUGAUGUUUCAUAUCCAUCUGACGACCCAAUUAAUGGAGAAACGAUAAGGACACCACUUUGUUCAUAUUUUGGUAAGUACAUGUGUAUAUUGCAUCACAAUGGCUACAUUUUACUCUCAACCCGUCGUAAAGCAUCGGAAAAUUAUAAAUUUUUACACUUGUUUAAAAAAAUUGUUGUUGACUUUCGUACAAAAAU
rnacentral:lncRNA from 1 species